rnacentral:rRNA from 1 species
UACGGAGGGUGCGAGCGUUAAUCGGAAUAACUGGGCGUAAAGGGCACGCAGGCGGGCUUUUAAGUGAGAUGUGAAAUCCCCGGGCUCAACCUGGGAACUGCAUCUGAUACUGGCAAGCUUGAGUCUCGUAGAGGGGGGUAGAAUUCCAGGUGUAGCGGUGAAAUGCGUAGAAAUAUGGAGGAACACCGGUGGCGAAAGCGGCUCUCUGGUCUGUAACUGACACUGAGGCACGAAAGCGUGGGUAGCAAACAGG